GUUCUUUAGUAUAAGGUUAGUAUGUUUGAUUUCCAAUCAAAUGGUUUUAAAGAAUUAA
rnacentral:tRNA from 1 species